rnacentral:snoRNA from 1 species
ACAAUGAUGAUGAUCGUGAUUUUCAGGCGGUGUGCCCCAAAACGGAUAUGCUGCACGGAAAAAAAGGGCCCGAAACUGAUUAG